rnacentral:snRNA from 1 species
GGGAAACCCGUCUGAUAGCG